AUCUAGUUGAUGAGUUUUAAAUAGGACGAAACCUGUGUCUUGGAU
rfam:Schistosoma haematobium scaffold128_14, whole genome shotgun sequence.